CCUACGGGUGGCAGCAGUCGAGAAUCAUUCACAAUGGGGGAAACCCUGAUGGUGCGACGCCGCGUGGGGGAAUGAAGGUCUUCGGAUUGUAAACCCCUGUCAUGUGGGAGCAAAUUAAAAAGAUAGUACCACAUGAGGAAGAGACGGCUAACGCUGUGCCAGCAGCCGCGGUAAUACAGAGGUCUUAAGCGUUGUUCGGAAUCCCUGGGCGUAAAGCGUGCGUAGGCUGUUUCGUAAGUCGUGUGUGAAAGGCGGGGGCUCAACCCGCGGACUGCACAUGAUACUGCGAGACUAGAGUAAUGGAGGGGGAACCGGAAUUCGCGGUGUAGCAGGGAAAUGCGUAGAUAUCGAGAGGAACACUGGUGGCGAAGGCGGGUUCCUGGACAUUAACUGACGCUGAGGCACGAAGGCCAGGGGAGCGAAAGGGAUUAGAUACCCCAGUAGUC
rnacentral:rRNA from 1 species